GUCGGCGAACAUGGAUCUAGUGCACGGUGUUUCAUGAUUAAGUUCGUGACUAGAUUUCAUGCUCGUCUAUU
rfam:Drosophila ananassae strain TSC#14024-0371.13 Ctg01_19597, whole genome shotgun sequence.